GCCUCAUACAUCUAAAUUCAUUCCUGAUUUACCUUUCCUGUUCAAAGAUUACGAACAAUGGUUCGGCAACUACGAUGAAUUGUAUUUUGUCAACAGAUAUCCUG